rnacentral:rRNA from 1 species
CAGCAGUGGGGAAUAUUGGACAAUGGGCGCAAGCCUGAUCCAGCCAUGCCGCGUGAGUGAUGAAGGCCUUAGGGUUGUAAAGCUCUUUUAUCCGGGACGAUAAUGACGGUACCCUCAAAGGAAGCACCGGCUAACUCCGUGCCAGCAGCCGCGGU